rnacentral:rRNA from 1 species
AAUCAACGCUGGCGGCGUGCCUAACACAUGCAAAGUCGAACGAGAAAGGGGACUUCGGUCCCUGAGUACAGUGGCGCACGGGUGAGUAACACGUGACUUAUCUACCCUCGAGUGGGGAAUAACUUCGGGAAACCGAGGCUAAUACCGCAUAAUACCCACGGGUCAAAGGAGCAAUUCGCUUGAGGAGGAGGUCGCGGCCCGAUUAGUUAGUUGGCGGGGUAAUGGCCCCCACCAAGACGGUGAUCGGUAUCCGGCCUGAGAGGGCGCACGGACACACUGGAACUGAAACACGGUCCAGACUCCUACGGGAGGCAGCAGUGGGGAAUUUUGCGCAAUGGGGGAAACCCUGACGCAGCAACGCCGCGUGGAGGAUGAAGUCUCUUGGGACGUAAACUCCUUUCGAUCGGGACGAUUAUGACGGUACCGGAAGAAGAAGCCCCGGCUAACUUCGUG